GCCAGGUAUGGUGGUGCAUGCCUAUAAUCCCAGCAAUUUGGGAGGCUGAGGGAGGAGGAUUACAAGUUCUAGGCUAGCCUCAGCAACUUAGUGAGACACUGUCUCAA
rnacentral:sRNA from 1 species